UGCCUACGGGGGGCAGCAGUGGGGAAUAUUGCACAAUGGGGGAAACCCUGAUGCAGCGACGCCGCGGGAGUGAAGAAGUAAUUCGUUAUGUAAAGCUCUAUCAGCAGGGAAGAAAAUGACGGUACCUGAGUAAGAAGCACCGGCUAACUACGUGCCAGCAGCCGCGGUAAUACGUAGGGGGAAAGCGUUAUCCGGAUUGACUGGGAGUAAGGGGAGCGCAGGCGGCACGGGAAGCCUGGUGUGAAAAACGGGGGC
rnacentral:rRNA from 1 species